rnacentral:rRNA from 1 species
UCGGGAAUUUUGGGCAAUGGGCGAAAGCCUGACCCAGCAACGCCGCGUGAAGGAUGAAGUAUUUCGGUAUGUAAACUUCGAAAGAAUAGGAAGAAUAAAUGACGGUACUAUUUAUAAGGUCCGGCUAACUACGUGCCAGCAGCCGCGGUAAUACGUAGGGACCAAGCGUUGUUCGGAUUUACUGGGCGUAAAGGGCGCGUAGGCGGUGUGUCAAGUCAGUUGUGAAAUCUCCGAGCUUAACUCGGAACGGUCAACUGAUACUGUCACACUAGAGUACAGAAGGGGCAAUCGGAAUUCUUGGUGUAGCGGUGAAAUGCGUAGAUAUCAAGAGGAACACCUGAGGCGAAAGGCGGGUUGCUGGGCUGAUACUGACGCUGAGGCGCGAAAGCUAGGGUAGCAAACGGGAUUAGAUACCCCAGUAGUCCCUGAGCGGGCUGGCAAGGCGCAU